GUGUCCGUAGCUCAGCUGGAUAGAGCACUCGCCUUCUAAGCGAGCGGUCGUGAGUUCGAAUCUCCCCGGACACG
rnacentral:tRNA from 1 species